rnacentral:tRNA from 1 species
GCCUGGCUAGCUCAGUCGGUAGAGCAUGUGACUCUUGAUCUUGAAUUGUGGGUUUGAGCCCCAUGUUUGGUA